rnacentral:lncRNA from 1 species
AUGGCUAGGCUUUUCCUUUUGGCUUUUGAACUUUGGAGUGAAAGACUUAUACGCUUCGGGAACCACUGGCUCUCACCCUGGUUGCUGGCAAAAUGGGGUUUUCAUUGUUUUAUGAUAACAGCGCUUACUGAAUGUGUUUCUUCUCUUGGGCCAACGUUUGCUCACGCUGCGUUUUCUUCCUGCCUGCUCCCCAGAGAUAAGGGGCAACCCCCACCUGCUGAUCAAGUACCACAGUGGGUUCUUCGUGGACGGCAAGUUCCUGUGCUGCCAGCAGAGCUGCAAAGCGGCCCCAGGAUGUACUCUCUGGGAAGCAUAUGCUGAUCUGCAUGUUGCACCCAAAGAAGAAAAACACAGAGUUCCUCCCAUCUUCCCAGACAGAGUGCUGAAGAUUCCUCGAGCAGUUCCUAUUUUCAAAAUGGAUGAACCAUCUUCAAGUACCACUCUGGCCCAGUGUGACAGUGACUCCAAGAAAAACUCUGGCUCCCAGUCAAAUGUCAACAGGCGAUAUAUUCCAAGAGAAGAGUGCCCUGACUGGUGGCAAGUAAGAAAGCUGAAAAGCAGUGAAGAUCUUGCAGGCGGUAAC